rnacentral:tRNA from 1 species
GUUGGAGUAGCUCAGUUGGUUAGAGCGUGUGGCUGUUAACCACAAGGUUGAAGGUUCAAGUCCUUCCUCUAGCG